rnacentral:rRNA from 1 species
GACGAACGCUGGCGGCGUGCCUAACACAUGCAAGUCGAACGGGGUGAUAUCCUUCGGGAGAUCACUUAGUGGCGAACGGGUGAGUAACGCGUGAGGAACCUGCCUUUCAGAGGGGGACAACAGUUGGAAACGACUGCUAAUACCGCAUAACGUAUCGGAACCGCAUGGCUCUGAUACCAAAGAUUUUAUCGCUGAAAGAUGGGCUCGCGUACGAUUAGAUAGUUGGUGAGGUAACGGCUCACCAAGUCGACGAUCGUUAGCCGGACUGAGAGGUUGAACGGCCACAUUGGGACUGAGACACGGCCCAGACUCCUACGGGAGGCAGCAGUGAGGAAUAUUGGGCAAUGGGCGCAAGCCUGACCCAGCAAUGCCGCGUGAAGGAUGAAGGUUUUCGGAUUGUAAACUUCUUUUAAGAGGGACGAUAAUGACGGUACCUCUUGAAUAAGCCACGGCUAACUACGUG